rnacentral:rRNA from 1 species
CCUACGGGAGGCAGCAGUGAGGAAUAGUGGUCAAUGGGCGCGAGCCUGAACCAGCCAAGUAGCGUGAAGGAUGACUGCCCUACGGGUUGUAAACUUCUUUUAUAAAGGAAUAAAGUGGGGCACGUGUGCCUUUUUGUAUGGACUUUAUGAAUAAGGAUCGGCUAACUCCGUGCCAGCAGCCGCGGUAAUACGGAGGAUCCGAGCGUUAUCCGGAUUUAUUGGGUUUAAAGGGAGCGUAGAUGGGUUGUUAAGUCAGUUGUGAAAGUUUUCGGCUCAACCGUAAAAUUGCAAUUGAUACUGGCAGUCUUUCUUUCAGUUGCGGUCGGCGGAAUUCGUUGUGUAGCGG